UCUCUCUCUCUCUCUUCUCAAUCUCUCUUUGCCUUCCUCUUCUCCAUCUCUCUCUCUUAAAGCGGGUCACCACCCUGAUUUCCGCCGGCCUGAAACAUAUCUAAAAGCACACGUUGCCAUCAUCGAAUUUCAGAAUGAACCCUAACCACCGUCACUAAAAGACCUGGGUCGCCGGCAUCGUUCUUGAAACGUAGAUCUGAAUACUCUUAAGCCAGUUUGAACUGGAUGUCACCGGUGUUUGCAGAGGUCCGAACUGUUUUUGAGAGGGUGUCUUAGGAGCCGGACUGUCGACACCCUUCUUCAUAUCCUCUGAAAUCUUAGUCGACGUUCUGUUAUGAGACGCAAGAUUGGGGGUGGUUUCCAUGAAAAUAUUGGUUUCUUCGAGGAUUUUGAUCUGGUUUGUGCGUUUGAUUUUUUUAAUCUGAACCCAUUUCUUUUCUGAUUAUUUGAAGUUGAUGGAUGUGAAUCUGAUCUCUUAGAUAUCAGAUCCAAUAUGAAAGUAAGUGGGGUCGUUUAUCAUUUCCUAGAAUCUCAAUUUUCAUUUUCUAAAUAUUAGAAGCAGAUUUGAAGUUGAUGGAUGUGAAUCUUAUGCAUAUUUGUUAA